GGGGAAGGGCCCUAGAGCCGUGGGGAGAGGCAGCCCGUGGCCUGGAGCAGUGGUUGGUGACCUUUGGAGUGGCGGUUGGGCGGUUGGGCGGUUGCAUGGGGCGGCCUGGGACUCGGGGGCGGGGUCAGUCAUAUAAGGCUGUGCCCAGCGCUUUUGGAAGCAGUAAGUCCAGCCCGAGGCUAAGGGUGGAUCGGGCGGAGGCCGUCAAGCUAGCCGGAAGGGGCUGUGCUGUCAACCAGCGAGCGCAGGAGGUGUUAACCACCGAAGGGAGGUAGAAUGUUUUUCCCCACCAGAGGAGGCAGCGACCACGUCUCCUCUAUGGAGGCAUUCAAGAGCCGUCCAGCUGAAGCAGCAUCACUGUCUGAGCUCGGAAGGCACAAUCCACAUAGGUCUGCAUGGUCCACCGAGCUGCAUACCCACGGGGCCAGCGGGAGGUGGGCAGCUGCUGGGCUCUCUUCUGAAGCAGACAGGAUCUCACUCUGUUGCUGAGGCUGGAUCACAGCUCCCUGCAACCUUGAACUCUCCCUCAAGCAAUUCUCCCCACUCUGCCUUCCAAAGCACUAGCAUUAUAGGCCUAAGCCACCACUCCCAUCCACUGUAGUGUAAACUGUCUCCUUCAAUGUUUCCAAUAGUUGCGGAGCAGAUCAGAUAAGGGUUCUUCCUGUCUGUUGCUUCAAGUUUCAUUCUCUCUUUAAACAAUACAAGGUUGGCUUCCAUGGUUCCUUCUUAAAGAAUGUUGAAGGUGUGUCUUCAGAUUCAUUUAGUGUUCGUGGAACCCCAGGGAAAGCUGAUGUAAAAACCUCUUUUUUCUCCCAUAUGUCUCAAAAAGUUGUAUUUUCUGGGUCCAAGGGAUCUGCAAGCCUCCUAAAGGCAUUUCCAUUGUCACUACCACCAGGUGUGAACUGUAAUCUGGCACGUAUAGUUCCAAGAACUGUCAUAAUAGAUGCUGAAGAAACAUUGUGAAGUUAACUCGCUGUUACCAACUGUGAAGUCAUUAGCUAGAGGAAUCUUGGGCGGUCUGAAAUCUGAGAUACUGUGGAAAGAACAGAAAGAUCCUGUAUCUUUCCUAUAAUUGUUCUACUGGAAGUUGUCAUUUUACACAGGAGACAUUCUGUUUUAUUUAUUUUCUUUUGAGACAGGGUCUCACUCUGUCGCCCAGGCUGGAGUGCAGUGUUGUUACCACAGGUCACUGGUGCCUCCACUGCCUGAGGACUGCUCAAGCAAUCCUCCUGCCUCAGUCCCCUGAGGAGCUGGGGCCACAGGCCUGCACCACCAUGCCUGGCUAAUUAUUUUUAUUUGUAGAGACAAAGUCUAUCUUGCCUAGGCUGAUCUCGAACUCCUGGGCUCAAGUAAUCCUCCCGCGGUGGCUUCUCAAAGUGCUUGGGAUUACAGAUGGUCUUGCUCUGUCACCCAGUCUGGAAUGCAGUGGUGCCAUCAUAGCUCACUACAGCCUGAGCUGUACUGAGCUCGAGGGAUCUUCCCGUCUCCGCCUCCUAAGCAGCUGGGACUACAGGUAAUGGAAGUGGGCAGAGAAUGAUCCUUUCCCUAGGCUCCAGUGUGUAAGAAUUAAAGAAAGAGGAAAGAAACACAAUGGCUUGAUGGUCGAGGACAGGUUUAUUUUAAAGAAAACAAACCCAAGAGUGGCUUCUGGCUGAGUUAGAUCAGAGAAGAGAAGUGAUUUUCUUGAAAUGCAUGAGGCUGGAAAGGGAGCUGGCACUUAAAGUGGCGGUGUUUGUCCGAGAGGAUGGUGCUCCUGCUCUGUCACAGUGGGCAUGGGGAUUCAGGCCACUGCCACCGAAUUUCAAGAGCCCAAGCACAGAGCCCAGAACUAAAUUGUGAGGGUUUAAAAAAAAAAAAAGCUUUAUUGAAGUAUAAUUGACAUACAAUAAACUUGAAUAUUUAAAGUGUA
rnacentral:lncRNA from 1 species